AAAAAAAUAGCAGUUCUAAGACUGGUCAAGGGGCCCUUUGCAAUCUGUCUUCACAAACCAGACAACUAUAAAGUACAACAACGCUUAGGGUGCUAUUGCGUGAAUGGUUAAGAAGACCUCCAAUUUGGACAACUAUUUAAAUAAGAAUCCGCUGACCGCUGCUUUUGUUUCCGUACUGCGAUGUCUGGAAGAUAACUAUUAUGCCAACUUUAUAUGUGACACUUUAUCACGCGAACAGGUACCCAGGACUGUGUUCAUGUGAUCUAAGAAACUCUAUCAACCUGGAGUGCAUGCCAUGUGAUGAGGAGUUUAGAUCAGGAAGAACGGGUGGUUCAAUACGUAGUAGUGUUUUCAGUUAGUCAUUAAUGCGGUGUGCUACAAACUAAACCUGAGAUUUCUACAUCCAUAAUCUCGCCUUAGUCUCCAAACAGAAGUUGUAGAUAAUCUUUUACGCUUUCUGUAGCGUAUUUGUUUGCACACUUUGGUUGGGCGGUUUGUGAGAUGCAGUCAGUAAUUCAGUAUUGAUUUACUGACCAAAAAACGACAUUUCUGUGAGAAGUGAGCUUGUGAGCUACUUCAAGUCCUUUUAGACCCCAAAGUCCAAACAAUAAAUUUAUAGAUUCAACACAAAAGUUGUGGGGUAGGUUUUCUACUUGCUAAAGCACGUAUUUUUGCUAGAUUACAUGUUAAAUUUUAAUUCAUGUUGGAUAGAACUGAAAGCAUGCUCUCUUAAAUAAUUUUAUGUUAUGUUUUGUAGGAUUGAGUUUGAAUAUUUGGCUGGGUUGUUGUGAUCCAGAACUAUUGGAUACAAUACAUUGCAGGCAGAAGUAAGCAAUAUAAAUCAAACAGAGUCCCGCGAGAACGAAAAUGGAUCCAGACGCUUACCUGUUGAUUGUGUUGCUGUAUCAACUUUGUGAGAUUAUCUAUAGAAAUACUGCAAGAUAUCUAUAUGAGUUCUAUCUCAUGUUCUGAGCAAUCGUGAGAUUAAUCCGUCCAGACUCUCUGUAAGGUCCAUGCCUUCUUUCUUGUCCUGCAAUAACAUGUUGGGUAAACAAUACUUAUCUUAGGUUAUAUAGGUUGAUAUUUAUGGUGUGUUAUUGUAUAAAUUGUUUGUCUAUGAAGACCACCGAUUUGGACAAUGUUUAGAUGACCACCAGUACUUUUGUUUAUGUCUUAAUAUAUGGAGGAUAAAUCUGUUAUGCAAGACUAUAUAUACACUGUUGAUUGCACUAGAACUCAAUGCUAUGCUACUUUUUUUUUCAUGGAAACAUCACUAUUUGAGAUAAUAGCUGACUAACCGGGUGCUCAACCUUAGCGGUUAACUUUUCAAAAACAAUGUGGUUUUAUUUUCUAAAUAUCUCUACUAUAGAUGUUGUUUGAUCUCCUUCCAACAUAUCCCAAGAAUAAGUUUUGUUCGGUACCUUCCAUUGUCUUCAUUAUUUUGAGCCUCUCUUUUUUGGAGGCUAUUCAAAUUAAUGCCUUAGUUCUCUUACAUUUCAUUGAACUGCAUCCAUUAACACUGCCAUAUUUUCUAGGAUUCUUGAACUUAGGUAUGAUAAUGAGGUGUUGGAUGUCUAUCUAAAUAGUAGUUUCAUUUUGAAUUAUCUUAAUUAGACCAACAGUAGUUUAUCAUAUACAUGCUUUGGAGUUUGGAUGCCUGUUCAGGACCAGCAAGCACCUGGGUUGGUUGGCUGGCAAGUGCUAUUUUAUCUACUCAUUACAUAGGUGACUUCCACAACAGUGACAACUGAUGCUGCCGCCGCCUUCGUCAUCAUGUCAUGAUAGUAAUCAUCAAUCAUGUUCUUCGGCUCAGUGUACCCAUCAAGAUUCUACUCUUUAGAAUCUGGCUUCAGAAAGGAUGAUUGAUUCCUCACGUACUAUAGUCAAGAACCUGACCAAAUAUCAGGGAAGUGUGUUGGAUGAUGAAUUCAUGUAUAUGUGUGGUUUGCCUUGCAACCUAUGAUCUUGUGCUGAAAAUGAGAAUCAUCGUGUCAAGCAUUUUUCCUCCACCAAUAGUUGCUGUAAUAUAUUCUCUCUAGCUUCCAUGGACGUUUCUCUGGUUGUAUAUAAAUGUUUCUAAAAAAAAUGUUUGUUACUUCAUUUAUAA